UACCAGCACCCCGAGUUGUCGGGACGAUUAUUGGGCCUAAAGCAUCCGUAGCCUGUUCUACAAGUCCUCCGUUAAAUCCACCUGCUCAACAGAUGGGCUGCGGGGGAUACUAUAGGGCUAGGAGGCGGGAGAGGCAAACGGUACUCAGUGGGUAGGGGUAAAAUCCAUUGAUCUACUGAAGACCACCAGUGGCGAAGGCGGUUUGCCAGAACGCGCUCGACGGUGAGGGAUGAAAGCUGGGGGAGC
rnacentral:rRNA from 1 species